UGUCGGUUCUCCCGCAACAUUAACCUGUGGAUUCGGUCAGGUCCGGAAGGAAGCAGCCGCAGCAGGAGACGUGUGUGCCGGGAUGUAGCUGGCAGGG
rnacentral:SRP_RNA from 4 species